rnacentral:lncRNA from 1 species
GUCCGUGACAAAAAAUCAUAUGUCUGUAACUUAAAGAUAAUUUGUGACCGAUAAACUGUGACAUAUGUGACCCAUAGAUAUAAUGUGACGUGUAAUUUGAAUGAUCCGUGACCUCAAAAUAAUAUGUGAUCUACAAAAUUUUUUAUCUAUGACCAUGAAAUAAUUUUGUGACCAAUUAAUUUGACGAUAUGUGACCAAUAAAUAAAUCUGUGACUUAUAACUAUGAAUAUGUGACAAUUAAUCGUGUAAUUGUGACUUUAUUAUCUUCAUUUAAUAAAUAUUUUUAAUUAAUUAAAUAUAAACCUGAUUUUUGAAUUUUAAAAGUAUCUAUUUGAUUUUUGAAUUAGGGAAAACUUAAUAGCUGAGAUGUGAACUCUUCCCUAUUUAAAUUGUAUCCCCAAUAAAGCAUGUCCAAGAAUUAAUAGGCUAAAAGUCCAAAUAACAUUCAAAAAACAAAUAAAUAAAUCAGCCCAAUGAAAAAUUCUGGAACAUGAUCAAUAUCCAAAUUUAUAUGUUUUCCAAUUGGCCCAGUGAACAAAUUAAAACCAAUGGUUUUCAAAUGGCCCAAUAGCUAUGGCCCACCAAAAGCAUCAUCUUCUACACAUAAAAUUGGUCUCUGUACGUGAAUUAAAACCAGAGAAUUUCUUCAAUCUCUAGAUUCUGUACCUCCUCAAAUUGAACCUUUUCUCCAUCAAAACUCAAGUUUAAAACUACAUAGAGGCUAUAAAAUCGAUUUUAUGGAGAGCUAAGAAUUUAUUUUUCAGAAUAUAAAUCAAUCAGAGAAGAUACUCUUUACAGAUUAAUGGUAAAACACCAAAACAGAGGUAAUAUGAGGCUCUGAC